UGGAAUCAUGAUGUUUGUCUUAGCUGAGCCUUUUUAACUAGAUGGAAUGUCUGUCCAUUAACACUGACGGAAAAAUUCUGUUCUCUUUAUGGUAUAAUAACACUUCCUUUUGUAGCUAUCCUACAGGUAAAGGCUUCAUCUGAUGGUAGACACAUGGGUUGACAUAAAACUCGGACAUUUUGAAGAAUGCUGCUGAUAAAAAAGCAGCUGCAGCACACUGAUGACCACAGUGUGGGGAACAGGCUGUCAUCCCCUUCAUCAGCACGAUGUGUCAGGAAAAAUGAGUGGGGACCAGCAUACGGAGUGGAAGCAGUGGAAGGUGAAGGAAGACACAGCCUGGGGAAGGCCAUAUGAGGAGUGAAGAAGGAGGCUACUCAAAGAAUGACUGAAGCAUUGUAUUCUAAUAGCAAAGAGUUUGAGUGUUUGGUUACAUGUAAGGACUGCACCAUGUGUGUGCCUGGUUUGUGCAGAGUCCAGCAGAAGGUACUGGAUGUGCUGCAACUCUCUCAUUCUGCUCUAAGAAAUUUCUGCUAGUAUCAUGCCUGGCCACACUCAACUUGAAAAAAAGUCAAAGGACCCAACUAAUGUAUUUCAUACAGGUCAGUUUGCUGAAGAGAAAAACCGUUGGAGAAGGACCUUGAGUCACAGAUGGUGCAAUUACACAAUCACCUCCAGUUCACCACCAUAAGUGAAUAUCUUAGGGAACUGAGCUACUUUAGACUUUCUUGCUUAUGCUGACUUUGUUAUGCCUUUGCACAGCUGAUGUCCAAUAAUGCUGCAAUGCUUUUGGUGUGUUUCUUUUUUUUACUUCAACGUCAUUUUUGUUAGUACCCCAUGGUUAGAGACUCUGCUCCUGGGUUUCAUGGGCUGCUUCUUCAUUUGUUCACCUACUGCCGUAGAUACUCAUUUGCAGGUAAGUUAUAAACUUUGGGUUUUCUCAGAUUACAAGGCUGUUGUACUCUGACGCCAUUCUCAUUUCCAUCUGUUUGUGAAAAUGAGAUCUCUCCUCUUUUUUAUGUUCAUCUAUCAGAAAUAAUAGGUCUUAUAAAUUUCUGUUCAAAUCUUCCUGAUAACUUCAUAAAAUAUUUCUUCAGAUCAA